AGGAUUAACGCUGGCGGCGUGCCUAACACAUGCAAGUCGAACGAGGUAGCAAUACCUAGUGGCAGACGGGUGAGUAACGCGUGGUCAACCUACCGUUGAGUGGGGGAUAACUAGCCGAAAGGUUAGCUAAAUACCGCAUACGUCUCCGAGGGGCAUCCCUUGGCGAUAAAAAGGAGCAAUCCGCUCGAUGACGGGACCGCGUCCCAUUAGCUAGAUGGUGGGGUAACGGCCUACCAUGGCACCGAUGGGUAGCUGGUUUGAGAGAGCGACCAGCCACACUGGGACUGAGAAACGGCCCAGACUCCUACGGGAGGCAGCAGUGAGGAAUUUUCCGCAAUGGGCGCAAGCCUGACGGAGCGACGCCGCGUGUGGGAAGAAGGCCUUCGGUCGUAAACCACUGUCGAAGGGACGAUAAUGACGGUACCCUUGGAGGAAGCCCCGGCUAACUACGUGCCAGCAGCCGC
rnacentral:rRNA from 1 species